rnacentral:lncRNA from 1 species
AUGACCCUCAUCUGCCCUGCUCCGGAAGUGCUUGCGGCUCGCAGAUUCAGAAGUCACAUGCAGGUCGUCCUACCCACCGGUGAGAGUUGGCUUUAUAAGACGCCACCAGCCAAGAGAGAUGUGCUGUUGGAAAGCGUUUGCGAGAGAGAACUGGGGAAUGUUGACAGGAAGAGCUCAGAGUGCUUCAGUGUGAUAGUAAGACACAUUGUGCGUGAGGAUUCAGGAGCAGCACUCAGGAGUCACAGACGGCUUCUCGGAGGGAGAAAGAAAUACAGGAAAAGGACCUCCAUCAUUUUCAGCAUAGGUGGGCAUGAAUUUUUGUUUGUUUGUUUGUUUUUUGGUACUGGGGAUCGGGAUCGUACUCAGGAUCUUGAGCUUGCGAGGCAGGUGGUGGAAGCACUGAGCUAAAUCCCCAGCCCUAUGCACGAAUUUUUGAGUCACUGAUUAUAAUUCUGUUUCAUUACGACAGAUCAUCAUGGCUAGCAUCCAGCAUGGUGCUAGGACAGAAUUUAAAAGAAGCCCCUCCAUUUCAGUAUUUUGCCCUUGGACCUUGUCCAUGCCUUUGAGAUACAAUUUCAAAGGAAACUCUUAAUAAAAUACAGCCUGAUCCGAGACACAUGCAGAAAGCAGUGUGUCCUCCAGUCCCCUGGGUCAGUGUGUAGGGGUGGUGGAUCUUGAAGUACCAACGCUGCAGCCCUCUCCUGACACCCCCUCGACCUGCACCCUUCGGCGUUACGUGUAUGUGCAUCCCAGCC